CUUAGCGGCGGACGGGUGAGUAACACGUGGGCAACCUGCCCUUGAGACGGGGAUAACUCCGGGAAACCGGAGCUAAUACCGGAUAACACAUAUCUUCGCAUGAGGAUAUGUUAGAAGGUGGCUUUUAGCUACCACUCAAGGAUGGGCCCGCGGCGCAUUAGCUAGUUGGUGAGGUAACGGCUCACCAAGGCGACGAUGCGUAGCCGACCUGAGAGGGUGAUCGGCCACACUGGGACUGAGACACGGCCCAGACUCCUACGGGAGGCAGCAGUAGGGAAUCUUCCGCAAUGGACGAAAGUCUGACGGAGCAACGCCGCGUGAGUGAUGAAGGUUUUCGGAUCGUAAAGCUCUGUUGUUAGGGAAGAACAAGUACCUGUUAAAUAAGCAGGUACCUUGACGGUACCUAACCAGAAAGCCACGGCUAACUACGUGCCAGCAGCCGCGGUAAUACGUAGGUGGCAAGCGUUGUCCGGAAU
rnacentral:rRNA from 1 species